rnacentral:rRNA from 1 species
GAUGAACGCUGGCGGCGUGCCUAAUACAUGCAAGUCGAGCGAACGGACGAGAAGCUUGCUUCUCUGAUGUUAGCGGCGGACGGGUGAGUAACACGUGGAUAACCUACCUAUAAGCCUGGGAUAACUUCGGGAAACCGGAGCUAAUACCGGAUGAUAUUUUGAACCGCAUGGUUCAAAAGUGAAAGACGGUCUUGCUGUCACUUAUAGAUGGAUCCGCGCUGCAUUAGCUAGUUGGUAAGGUAACGGCUUACCAAGGCAACGAUGCAUAGCCGACCUGAGAGGGGGAUCGGCCACACGGGAACUAAGACACGGUCCAGACUCCUACGGGAGGCAGCAGUAGGGAAUCUUCCGCAAUGGGCGAAAGCCUGACGGAGCAACGCCGCUUGAGUGAUGAAGGUCUUCGGAUCGUAAAACUCUGUUAUUAGGGAAGAACAUAUGUGUAAGUAACUGUGCACAUCUUGACGGUACCUAAUCAGAAAGCCACGGCUAACUACGUG